rnacentral:rRNA from 1 species
CCUACGGGAGGCAGCAGUAAGGAAUAUUGGUCAAUGGACGAAAGUCUGAACCAGCCAUGCCGCGUGAAGGAUUAAGGCCCUCUGGGUUGUAAACUUCUUUUAUCUGGGACGAAAAAAGGGUAUUCUUACUCACUUGACGGUACCAGAGGAAUAAGCACCGGCUAACUCCGUGCCAGCAGCCGCGGUAAUACGGAGGGUGCAAGCGUUAUCCGGAUUUACUGGGUUUAAAGGGUGCGUAGGUGGGCUUGUAAGUCAGUGGUGAAAUCUCCGGGCUUAACCCGGAAACUGCCAUUGAUACUAUAGGUCUUGAAUUAUCUGGAGGUAAGCGGAAUAUGUCAUGUAGCGGUGAAAUGCUUAGAUAUGACAUAGAACACCAAUUGCGAAGGCAGCUUACUACGGAUAUAUUGACACUGAGGCGCGAAAGCGUGGGGAUCAAACAGGAUUAGAUACCCUGGUAGUCCACGCCCUAAACGAUGGAUACUCGACAUCAGCGAUACACUGUUGGUUGUUCGUGUAGCGAAGACAUUAAGUUAUCCACCGUACGGAAGGUACGAGUCGCGAAGUAGUUAGUUAAACGUUACUAAAGUUAGUUAAGUUAGUUACGGCGUUGAGACGUUGCCGACGGACGACGACGAGGGAGGAGG